GAUAGUAUAAUCUAAUAAAGAUGUCUCAUUGAUGUAGAGAAUAUAGACUGAUGUUUUACUAUUA
rnacentral:tRNA from 1 species